rnacentral:rRNA from 1 species
CGGGCUUUGUACUCACCGCCCGUCAACUCAGGAGAGCUGAUAGUACCCAAAGCACUCGCCCUCGGCGAGUACCACGGUAAGAUCAGUAAUCAGGAGU